rnacentral:rRNA from 1 species
UACGUAGGGGGCAAGCGUUGUUCGGAAUCAUUGGGCGUAAAGAGCGCGUAGGCGGCCCAGUAAGUCCGCUCUGAAAGUCAGAGGCUCAACCUCGAGACGUCGGCGGAAACCAUCUGGCUAGAGUCCGGAAGAGGAGAGUGGAAUUCCUGGUGUAGCGGUGAAAUGCGCAGAUAUCAGGAAGAACACCCGUGGCGAAGGCGGCUCUCUGGGACGGUACUGACGCUCAGACGCGAAAGCGUGGGGAGCAAACAGG